rnacentral:tRNA from 1 species
GAGGGUAUAGUUCAGUGGUAGAGCACAUACUUCGCAUGCACAAGGUCCUGGGUUCAAUCCCCACUGCCUUCA